ACAGACGACCAUUGAUUUGUUCAGCAAAUAGAGAUGAAAGCUUUAGAGAUGGACUGUUGCCUGUAUUUCUGCUCAACAUGCAAGAGGUUCCAGGGAUCUCCAUUUUGAAAAGGGCAGCAGUAUUCCUGAUGGGAAGAUUUUUUCUCACACACUGGCAAUUCUACAUUUUGCUGGAUCAGCUCCAGGAGAGACAAGUUAAUGCCCCGUGUAGUUUGUUUUCAUAUUGAGCAAACCCUGCUGAGAAACUGGAAAAUAGAGAUUUAAACUGAUAAGCUUGCAAAAGACAGCUGACUCAUCAAGUGUCAUGAAACAAGGAUUCCCACACUGUGAUACACCUGAAAGUGUUGAACUUGUAUGAUCCUAGUCCCCCCCUUCUCCUUGAGGUGUUGGGGAAUCACAAGAUGCUCCUUCUUGGUUAGGGAAGACUGCUACCUCCCCAUCACAGUACGAGUCCUUCCUUCUAGCAACUGUGCCCGACCACAUGAGGAUUACCCAAACCACAGCACUGGUGUUAUGUUUGCAAACGGAGAUGAGAUUAGACAGACCAGCAAGCUCCAUACCUGCUUUGGAUGAGAACAGGAUCGCUGCACGUGACACUACUUAAUUUAGAUCUGAUCAAAGUUCAGAGUGCGAUUUUUGGAGUCAAACAUGCGAAAGAACUUAAUUCAGAAGUAGCUUACAGGGAUUACUAGAUUGCUACUUUGAAACAGACUGAGUAAAUACUAAUCUCACUUUGCACCAGGAAAAGGCUGAAAUUAUAAAAGUGGGUUUGGAUCUUGUCUGAAGCACAGUCUGAAUCUCAGCAAAAGGGUAUACUCCCAACAUCUCUUUUUCUUGACCUUACUGGAGCAAACUCUCAACUCUCGUGACGAGGGAUAAUGUUUGGGUCACAGUCAACACUAGGCUUUGCUUUGCAAAUGAGCAAAAUGUCUACUGGGGCAUCUUGCUUCAGCAUCAGGAGCUUGGUGAAGAUGACCACUCACAUUCUGGUGUUUGUAGUUCCUCCCAAGAAGAAGGACACACACUUUCCAGCAGGCGCUUAUACAUGGCACAAAGACCUGAGCAGAUGAUGGGAAAAGGCACCAUCACUUCUUUUCUCGACCGCAAGUCCCUUGGACGCCUCAAUGGAUACCAAUGCUUGGGUGCCAGGAGCUAUGCUGCUCAUCCUGAGCCCAGCUGUCCUGCUCAUCCAAGGGCUUCCUUUGGCAUCUUUCUUGGUAGCCAGAGAAGGGAGUACUCACAACAACACUGCUCGGUAAACACUCAUUUAAUGGAAAAAAAUGGAUAGUUUUCUUUUGUUGGAAAUUUUUCAUGCAUUAUUUUUGUUUAGGAAAACAUGAUAUCAUUCUGAUGGUAAGAAAACAAACCAGCAUGCCAGCUUUCUGUUACGCCUAAAAUAUCACCUCCUAUUUUUCAUUUAGGAAUAUAAAAGAAGAAAGUGGAGAAAUAAAAUAACCAAGACCCAA